rnacentral:rRNA from 1 species
UAAAGAUUCAUCGCUGAUAGAUAGGCAUGCGUUCCAUUAGGCAGUUGGCGGGGUAACGGCCCACCAAACCGACGAUGGAUAGGGGUUCUGAGAGGAAGGUCCCCCACAUUGGUACUGAGACACGGACCAAACUCCUACGGGAGGCAGCAGUGAGGAAUAUUGGUCAAUGGGCGUAAGCCUGAACCAGCCAAGUCGCGUGAGGGAUGAAGGUUCUAUGGAUCGUAAACCUCUUUUAUAAGGGAAUAAAGUGCGGGACGUGUCCCGUUUUGUAUGUACCUUAUGAAUAAGGAUCGGCUAACUCCGUGCCAGCAGCCGCGGUAAUACGGAGGAUCCGAGCGUUAUCCGGAUUUAUUGGGUUUAAAGGGUGCGUAGGCGGCCUUUUAAGUCAGCGGUGAAAGUCUGUGGCUCAACCAUAGAAUUGCCGUUGAAACUGGGAGGCUUGAGUAUGUUUGAGGCAGGCGGAAUGCGUGGUGUAGCGGUGAAAUGCUUAGAUAUCACGCAGAACCCCGAUUGCGAAGGCAGCCUGCCAAGCCAUGACUGACGCCGAUGCACGAAAGCGUGGGGAUCAAACAGGAUUAGAUACCCUGGUAGUCCACGC